AAUAAAUAUCUAUUGAACCGGUGACGUUAGCCGAGUCGUCUAAGGCGCAUGGCCUAUAGAGCACUCGGACUAGCAUACCGGCCAGGCGUGGGUUCGAAUCCCAAGCUGGUCUUAGAAACCAGCUUGCUUGAGAUUCGACCCUUGCCGCGUAGGUCAAGAUUUUUACAGCCCAAAAAGACCCCAAUGUACCACUCCCGACAGUUAAAGUCGACUAUAUGACCACAGCGGUU